CAGUAGCCGCGGGAAAACGAAGGGUGCAAGCGUUACUCGGAAUUACUGGGCGUAAAGCGUGCGUAGGUGGUUGUUUAAGUCUGCUGUGAAAGCCCUGGGCUCAACCUGGGAAUUGCAGUGGAUACUGGGCAACUAGAGUAAGGUAGAGGAUAGUGGAAUUUCCGGUGUAGCAGUGAAAUGCGUAGAGAUCGGAAGGAACAUCUGUGGCGAAGGCGACUAUCUGGGCCAUUACUGACACUGAGGCACGAAAGCGUGGGGAGCAAACAGGAUUAGAUACCCCAGUAGUCCCUGUCUCUUAUAC
rnacentral:rRNA from 1 species